rnacentral:rRNA from 1 species
UACGUAGGUGGCUAGCGUUGUCCGGAAUCAUUGGGCGUAAAGAGCGUGUAGGCGGCCCGGUAAGUCCGCUGUGAAAGUCGGGGGCUCAACCCUCGAAUGCCGGUGGAUACUGUCGGGCUAGAGUGCGGAAGAGGCGAGUGGAAUUCCUGGUGUAGCGGUGAAAUGCGCAGAUAUCAGGAGGAACACCGAUUGCGAAGGCAGCUCGCUGGGACGUCACUGACGCUGAGACGCGAAAGCGUGGGGAGCAAACAGG